GCUGGGUGUGGUGGCCUGUGCCUGUAAUCCCAGCUACUCUGGAGGCUGAGGUGGGAGGAUCACUUGAACCCAGGAGGCUGAGGUUGCAGUGAGCAGAGACUGCGCCACUGCACUCCAGCCUGGGUGACAGAGCCAGACCCUGUCUCUA
ensembl:misc_RNA Metazoa_SRP Metazoan signal recognition particle RNA